rnacentral:lncRNA from 1 species
AGCGGUUUGACAUCUUUUCACAUCUUUUUCAAUACGAGAAAAAUUAAUUCAGAGUUCUUCAAAAUAUGAACAUUUUUUGACAGGUAAAACUUUUCAGAUAAACUUUUUCAAUGAAAAUAGAAGCAUUCAUUCCACAGAAAAGUUUUCUCAGGGGAAAGCCAUUUAAUCACAAGCUAUAUAUAACACAGGAAAUAGCAUCCUUUGUUGAAUCACUAGCUGCCACAAAGAGUCCUCAGUUUUCUAUAGUGGUCCUGUCCCUGCUGAGAGUGAGAGAUUCCUCAUGUCCGUGGCCCUGCAAAGGUUUAAAUUAAACCUACCUCACACACAUUGUGGGAGGCUGAAUUUAAUUUAAUGGCUUCAGCCCAAAAUCCAGAGGGAUACAUGUUCUCUGAAGACACUUCCACAAGACAAUUUGAUGAAAAUGCUUCCAAUCUGAGAAGUGCUAGCCUGGGAACCAGGAGCAUCCUUCAGAAACACAGCUGGACUCUUGAGCUGCGGGCAGAGAGUGAGCUGGUGACUCUGUGGUGGUUGGCUGCCUACAAGGGUCAAAU